ACAUGUUUCUUCCUUGUGUAACAAACCACCAAAAUUAGGGUUUCCAUAAUCGUGUCACGUUUUUGCCAUCGUGACACGUUUUCACCAAUGCCGAAUGCAUAUUUCUUGAAAGCUCCAAAUCGUGUCACGUUUUUCAGUAAUCGUGACACGGUCCCCUUUUUUCAGUUUCUUCAGUUUUUUUUGCUUUUCUUGCUGCUUAAUCUUGAUUGUGAACUCAAAAAUAUCAUAAAAAAGACUCUAAAAAUAGUGAAUAACUGACUGUCAUCAGAACCCCAAACUUGAACCAUUCCUUGUCCUCAACGAAUUUAC
rnacentral:lncRNA from 1 species